AUCCAGCUGAUGAGUCCCAUUUAGGACGAAAUGCGCGUCCUGGAU
rfam:Schistosoma mansoni strain Puerto Rico chromosome 3, complete genome